rnacentral:rRNA from 1 species
GAGUGAAAUAGAACCUGAAACCGUGUGCGUACAAGCAGUGGGAGCCCACUUGUUGGGUGACCGCGUACCUUUUGUAUAAUGGGUCAGCGACUUAUAUUCUGUAGCAAGGUUAACCGUUUAGGGGAGCCGUAGGGAAACCGAGUCUUAAUAGGGCGACUAGUUGCAGGGUAUAGACCCGAAACCGAGUGAUCUAUCCAUGAGCAGGUUGAAAGUGCCGUAACAGGCACCGGAGGACCGAACCCACUGUCGUUGAAAAGCCAGGGGAUGACUUGUGGAUAGGGGUGAAAGGCUAAUCAAACUCGGUGAUAGCUGGUUCUCCCCGAAAGCUAUUUAGGUAGCGCCUCGGACGAACACCAUUGGGGGUAGAGCACUGUUUCGGCUAGGGGGUCAUACCGACUUACCAAACCGAUGCAAACUCCGAAUACCGAUGAGUGAUAUCCGGGAGACACACGGUGGGUGCUAACGUCCAUCGUGGAGAGGGAAACAACCCAGACCGCCAGCUAAGGCCCCAAAUUCCUAGUUAAGUGGGAAACGAGGUGGGAAGGCAUAGACAGCUAGGAGGUUGGCUUAGAAGCAGCCAUCCUUUAAAGAAAGCGUAAUAGCUCACUAGUCGAGUCGGCCCGCGCGGAAGAUGUAACGGGGCUCAAACUAGGAGCCGAAGCUGCGGAUUUGAAUUUGUUUUCAAGUGGUAGGGGAGCGUUGUGUAAGCCUGUGAAGGUGUGUUGUAAAGCAUGCUGGAGGUAUCACAAGAGCGAAUGCUGACGUGAGUAACGAUAAUGGGUGUGAAAAGCAUCCACGCCGGAAGAUCAAGGGUUCCAGUCCAACGUUAAUCGGGGCUGGGUGAGUCGACCCCUAAGGCGAGGCCGAAAGGCGUAGUCGAUGGGAAAUCGGUUAAUAUUCCGAUACUUGUUUAUAAUGCGAUGGAGGGACGGAGAAGGUUAUGUCAGCCUGGCGUUGGUUGUCCAGGUGAAAGGAUGUAGGUUUAUAGCUUAGGUAAAUCCGGGCUAUUCUAUACCGAGAUCUGAUAGCAAGCUGUACAUGUACAGCGAAGUGGCAAAUACCAUGCUUCCAGGAAAAGCUUCUAAGCAAUAGUUAUAAACGAAUCGUACCCUAAACCGACACAGGUGAUCAGGUAGAGAAUACCAAGGCGCUUGAGAGAACUUUGCUGAAGGAACUAGGCAAAAUGGUACCGUAACUUCGGGAGAAGGUACGCUGUUGGUGGUGAUAGGACUUGCUCCUUGAGCUGCUGGCAGUCGCAGAUACCAGGCUGCUGCAACUGUUUAUUAAAAACACAGCACUCUGCAAACACGAAAGUGGACGUAUAGGGUGUGAUGUCUGCCCGGUGCUGGAAGGUUAAUUGAUGGGCUUAGCGUAAGCGAAGGUCUUGAUCGAAGCCCCAGUAAACGGCGGCCGUAACUAUAACGGUCCUAAGGUAGCGAAAUUCCUUGUCGGGUAAGUUCCGACCUGCACGAAUGACAUAAUGAUGGCAGCGCUGUCUCCAGCAGAGACUCAGUGAAAUCGAAAUCGCAGUGAAGAUGCUGUGUACCCGCGGCUAGACGGAAAGACCCCGUGAACCUUUACUACAGCUUUACAUUGAACUUUGACCUGACUUGUGCAGGAUAGGUGGGAGGCUUUGAAACCGAGACGCCAGUCUUGGUGGAGCCAUCCUUGAAAUACCACCCUGGUCAUGUUGGGGUUCUAACUCAGGUAUCACAAUACCGAGGACAAUGUAUGGUGGGUAGUUUGACUGGGGCGGUCUCCUCCUAAAGAGUAACGGAGGAGUACGAAGGUGCGCUCAGACCGGUCGGAAAUCGGUCGAAGAGUAUAAAGGCAAAAGCGCGCUUAACUGCGAGACCCACAAGUCGAGCAGGUACGAAAGUAGGUCUUAGUGAUCCGGUGGUUCUGUAU